UACGUAGGGUGCGAGCGUUGUCCGGAAUUAUUGGGCGUAAAGGGCUCGUAGGCGGUUUGUCGCGUCGGGAGUGAAAACCUCGGGCUUAACUCGGGGCUUGCUUUCGAUACGGGCAGACUAGAGGUAUGCAGGGGAGAACGGAAUUCCUGGUGUAGCGGUGAAAUGCGCAGAUAUCAGGAGGAACACCGGUGGCGAAGGCGGUUCUCUGGGCCUUACCUGACACUGAGGAGCGAAAGCGUGGGGAGCGAACAGG
rnacentral:rRNA from 1 species